AUUGAACGCUGGCGGCAGGCCUAACACAUGCAAGUCGAGCGGAUGAAGGGAGCUUGCUCCUGGAUUCAGCGGCGGACGGGUGAGUAAUGCCUAGGAAUCUGCCUGGCAGUGGGGGAUAACGUCCGGAAACGGGCGCUAAUACCGCAUACGACCUGAUGGUGAAAGUGGGGGAUCUUCGGACCUCACGCUAUCAGAUGAGCCUAGGUCGGAUUAGCUAGUUGGUUGGGUAAAGGCCUACCAAGGCGACGAUCCGUAACUGGACUGAGAGGAUGAUCAGUCACACUGGAACUGAGACACGGUCCAGACUCCUACGGGAGGCAGCAGUGGGGAAUAUUGGGCAAUGGGCGAAAGCCUGACCCAGCCAUGCCGCGUGUGUGAAGAAGGUCUUCGGAUUGUAAAGCAGUUUAAGUUGGGAGGAAGGGCAGUAAGUUAAUACCUUGCUGUUUUGACGGUACCAACAGAAUAAGCACCGGCUAACUUCGUG
rnacentral:rRNA from 1 species